UACGGCCAAGAAUCCAUCGAUUGAGUUAGCUUUGGCUGUACAGAGUCAUAGCACAUCUCCUCGUGAGGAAUUAGGAGGGAAGAUGGCGUCGCCAAUCGAAGGUCGUCUGCGCCUGGGCAGCAUCUCCACGCCGUGGGACGGAUGUUGGCCGCCGCGCCAUCGCGCCGCAUCAGGAGAAGCGGCGUCGGAGCCGAAGGCCGCCGCCGUGCCAAGGUGUGGCGGAGAGAACUGCGCUCCGCAUGCGCGUUGGCCGUCUCUGUUGCCGGGCUGCGUGGCGGGCCGUGGUGCUCCUCCGGAGGGAGGAGCGUUGCUGCCGGGAUGUGGUUGUCGCCGCUGUAGACGGCUGUGCCGAUGGAGGCCGCGGGUGCGGCCUCAACCAUCGCAUCCAGGGGGAAAAGGGAGGAGGAGAGUGGACGAGCGGCCGCCGCUUAGACCUUCCUCCGUCCGGAAUCGAGUCCGCUGAUCCGCGGCCGAUCUCAUUUAAGAGAGUGUGUUCGAGGCUUCCAAUUCUUGAAUCGAUGGAGGCUGGCGCUGCGUUCUUCCAUCGGUUCUUCUUUCUUUGUAGUUCACGAUUGAUCAAUUCUUCGUAAGAUUCGUGUGAGCGCA